UUACGCAAAUAAUUUCCCCAAUAAUCAGAACCAAAGUAGGCUACGAAAAUUCAUUUCAAACGAUUCUGGCCCAGCUACCAGAUCCAAUACAAAUAAACCUCAUUCAACUUCUAAACUUGUCCAGUGAACGGCUACAGAAUUUUUUGUGUUAUUGUUUAUUGUAACUAAGAACAGAUACUGCAUUGGAUUCCAGAAUCUUGAAAUCCGGACUAGAGUUUUCUGUAAGCCAAUCUGCAGUUGUAAAUUCCCAACUUAGUACCUAUUUCCGUGAAGAAGUUCAACUAAGCUGCCUGUCAAAAUGUGCUGCGGACCUUGCUACUCGUGCUGCGGACCUUGCGGAGGAUGCUGCGGACCUUGCGGUAGCUGCUGCGGACCUUGCGGUAGCUGCUGCGGACCUUGCGGACCUUGCGGACCUUGCGGACCUUGCGGACCUUGCGGACCUUGCGGACCUUGCGGAGGCUGCUGUGGUGGCUGUGGACCCUGCUGUUAGAUCUAUCUUCAGAAAGAAACCUAGGUACUAACCAACACUUGCUACAAAAAGCAACAGCAAACCAUAUGUAAAUUUUUGGUAACUAGAUUUAUAUAGUAAUGGUAUAUAAAUAAAAUGGGAACAAGUUAAA